GAUCGGCCACAUUGGGACUGAGACACGGCCCAAACUCCUACGGGAGGCAGCAGUAGGGAAUCUUCCACAAUGGACGCAAGUCUGAUGGAGCAACGCCGCGUGAGUGAAGAAGGUUUUCGGAUCGUAAAGCUCUGYUGUUGGUGAAGAAGGAUAGAGGUAGUAACUGGCCUUUAUUUGACGGUAAUCAACCAGAAAGUCACGGCUAACUACGUGCCAGCAGCCGCGGUAAUACGUAGGUGGCAAGCGUUGUCCGGAUUUAUUGGGCGUAAAGCGAGCGCAGGCGGAAAAAUAAGUCUGAUGUGAAAGCCCUCGGCUUAACCGAGGAACUGCAUCGGAAACUGUUUUUCUUGAGUGCAGAAGAGGAGAGUGGAACUCCAUGUGUAGCGGUGGAAUGCGUAGAUAUAUGGAAGAACACCAGUGGCGAAGGCGGCUCUCUGGUCUGCAACUGACGCUGAGGCUCGAAAGCAUGGGUAGCGAACAGGAUUAGAUACCCUGGUAGUCCAUGCCGUAAACGAUGAGUGCUAAGUGUUGGGAGGUUUCCGCCUCUCAGUGCUGCAGCUAACGCAUUAAGCACUCCGCCUGGGGAGUACGACCGCAAGGUUGAAACUCAAAGGAAUUGACGGGGGCCCGCACAAGCGGUGGAGCAUGUGGUUUAAUUCGAAGCAACGCGAAGAACCUUACCAGGUCUUGACAUCUAGUGCCAUCCUAAGAGAUUAGGAGUUCCCUUCGGGGACGCUAAGACAGGUGGUGCAUGGCUGUCGUCAGCUCGUGUCGUGAGAUGUUGGGUUAAGUCCCGCAACGAGCGCAACCCUUGUUAUUAGUUGCCAGCAUUAAGUUGGGCACUCUAAUGAGACUGCCGGUGACAAACCGGAGGAAGGUGGGGAUGACGUCAAGUCAUCAUGCCCCUUAUGACCUGGGCUACACACGUGCUACAAUGGGCAGUACAACGARAAGCGAGCCUGCGAAGGCAAGCGAAUCUCUGAAAGCUGUUCUCAGUUCGGACUGCAGUCUGCAACUCGACUGCACGAAGCUGGAAUCGCUAGUAAUCGCGGAUCAGCACGCCGCGGUGAAUACGUUCCCGGGCCUUGUACACACCGCCCGUCACACCAUGGAAGUCUGCAAUGCCCAAAGCCGGUGGCCUAACCUUCGGGAAGGAGCCGU
rnacentral:rRNA from 1 species